rnacentral:rRNA from 1 species
CGUAGGGUGCGAGUCGUUAAUCGGAAUUACUGGGCGUAAAGCGUGCGCAGGCGGUUUUGUAAGACAGAUGUGAAAUCCCCGGGCUCAACCUGGGACCUGCAUUUGUGACUGCAAGGCUAGAGUACGGUAGAGGGGGAUGGAAUUCCGCGUGUAGCAGUGAAAUGCGUAGAUAUGCGGAGGAACACCGAUGGCGAAGGCAAUCCCCUGGACCUGUACUGACGCUCAUGCACGAAAGCGUGGGGAGCAAACAGGAUUAGAUACCCUGGUAGUCCACGCCCUAAACGAUGUCAACUGGUUGUUGGGUCUUUACUGACUCAGUAACGAAGCUAACGCGUGAAGUUGACCGCCUGGGGAGUACGGCCGCAAGGCUG